rnacentral:misc_RNA from 1 species
GAUGAAGAACGUAGCGAAAUGCGAUAAGUAAUGUGAAUUGCAGAAUUCAGUGAAUCAUCGAAUCUUUGAACGCACAUUGCGCCCGCCAGUAUUCUGGCGAGCAUGCCUGUUCGAGCGUCAUUUCAACCAUCAAGCCCCAGGCUUGUGUUGGAGCCCUGCGGCUGCCGCAGCCUCCCAAAACCAGUGGCGGGCUCGCUAUCACACCGAGUGCAGUAGUUUACUCUUCGCUCAGGGCGUGUGGCGGGUGCUAGCCGUGAAACCCCCAACUUCUCAAGGUUGUCCUCGGAUCAGGUAGGAAUACCCGCUGAACUUAAGCAUAUCAAUAAGCGGAGGA